CGCGCGGUCCAGGGUGGGGAGCUUUCCUCCCGCCUCGCGGCAGUCAUGCGGGGGUGGGGGCGGCACCGUGCCCCUAAGAGACCUCUAGUCAGUCGUCCGAUGGGGGACAGUGGAAACGCAUAGGCCAUGGGACAAAGCGACCUCAGCCCCACAGCGCCGCCGGGCUCCCCGCAACGCCGGGGCUUCACGGGCUCAGGCAAAGGAGCCACACCUGGAGAAGAGCAGCGAUAACAAUAACUCUACUUGUUCACGUACGAAAAUAGCUCACUUGACAGAGCUGCAUGGAGACUGGUGCCACGGAUAGUCUGUGAGCAGAAGAAGGGCUCGGGGAAUUUUCUUGGGGUUUAGAGUGCUUCAUGGUCAUCUCCAAUUCACAUUUCACCCCGGGCUGAUUCCCUGGCUCCGGUGUCAGAAUUUCUGAUUCACUCUGUCGGAGAAGGCCCAGGAAUCAGCAUUUUAAUAAACCUGUCACUGAGCAGACAGAUGCUGUGAUCCUCGCAUGGCUUCAGAACUAAGUAUGCGCCCAGUUAGGACCUCCUGACCCAAUGAGGAUUUCGCUAUGUGCUCUUCAUGCCUUCACAGCCGUGCAGCUCGAGUGAUGAAGACGCCACAUCUGUACAUAGUUCAGGGUCAAAAACACUCAUGCGUCACCGGCAAGUGCCUGGCACUGUGCUGGGUGUUGGCAACACAAAGAUGAAGGAAACUUUCUUGCCAGUUCACUUGACUUUACCCCUUGAGACGAUCAGUGACAUUGCCCAGAGGAGAAAGGUCUAGUUGUGGAGGACGUUGCUUUACUGGCCCAAGUUGGC